UCCCUGGAGGACUAGUGGUUAGGCCACAGCGCUCUCAAAGCUGCGGCCCAGGUUUGAUUCCCAGCCAUGAAA